GUUUCCAAUUGUUGCCAGCUUCACGGAGCUUUGCUUGUUGUGUGAAUUGGCAGUCGUACUUUUGUUCAUAUUUCGAAAGUUGAAGUACUUCUAAACUAGCGAUGCGCAUUUAUUUCAGUCCUCAGUGCUAGCCAGUUAGCAUUCUUAUAUUUUGAGUUGGGUUAAACUAAUUAAUUUUCUAACCUUUAAACCGGACUUACCUUGCUAGCCAGAAUUUCUGACAGUUGUAGCUUGGUAUCAUAGCUAUAUUUCGCGUGGUUACCAGAUGACUUGGAACAAAUAGCCGUGAUUGUAACCGUUUUACUCGGGUGAAUUACAGUUUAUUUAGAUACCUAAAUAAGGGCAUCCCUGGCUCCGCAUUUUAGGCUAGAAAACAAACAGCACCUCCAUUACAGAGCGAUUGGGAGAGAGAGAAAGACCACCCGACAAACAUGCCUCGCAUUGAGAACGACAUCAAGCUGGACUUCAAGGACGUCCUGCUUCGUCCAAAACGUAGCACACUGAAGUCUCGCAGUGAGGUGGACCUGACCCGCAGUUUCUUCUUUCGGAACUCCAAGGGUACCUACAGUGGGAUCCCGAUCAUCGCGGCCAACAUGGACACUGUGGGGACCUUUGAGAUGGCCCUGGCACUGCACAAGUUCACUGUCUUCACUGCCAUUCACAAGCACUACUCCGUGGACGAUUGGAAGGAGUUUGCUGCCCAGCACCCCGAUUGCCUGGAGAGCGUGGCGAUCAGCACGGGGACCGGCGACGGGGACUUUGAGAGGCUGAGCUCGGUGGUGGCCGCGGUGCCGAAGCUGCGGUACAUCUGCGUGGACGUGGCCAAUGGCUACUCGGAGCACUUUGUCCACUUCGUCAAAGACGUGCGCGCGAAGUUCCCUUCGCACACCAUCAUGGCAGGGAACGUAGUCACUGGAGAGAUGGUGGAGGAGCUGAUUCUCGCUGGUGCUGACAUCAUUAAAGUGGGGAUUGGACCAGGCUCUGUGUGCACCACUCGUAAGAAGACGGGGGUUGGGUACCCGCAGCUAAGCGCUGUGAUCGAAUGUGCUGAUGCAGCACAUGGCCUAGGGGGGCAUAUCAUCUCUGAUGGAGGAUGCACCUGCCCAGGUGACGUCUCAAAGGCGUUCGGUGCGGGGGCAGACUUCGUCAUGCUCGGCGGGAUGCUGGCGGGUCACUCUGAGUGCAGCGGCGAGGUCAUCGAGAAAAGCGGACAGAAGUACAAGCUGUUCUAUGGCAUGAGCUCCGAAACGGCCAUGAGGAAACACGCAGGGGGAGUGGCCGAAUACAGGGCGUCCGAGGGAAAGACCGUGGAGGUGCUCUAUAAGGGCCCGGUGGACGUGACCAUGCGGGACAUCCUGGGAGGCGUGCGCUCCACCUGCACCUACGUGGGCGCGGGCAAGCUGAAGGAGCUGAGCCGCAGGACCACCUUCAUCCGCGUCACUCAGCAGCUCAACACCGUGUUCGGCAACAGCGGCUAGGCCCAACGAGCAAGGGUCUGCCGGACUUGGCUCGGCCCGGUCCGUAUGCAUUUCUCUCUCUCUCUCUCUCUCUCUCUCUGUCUCUCUCACACACAUAUGCACGGUUACGCACGCACAUACGCACACACACGCGUGCGCGUACGCACGGUCGCACGCACGGUCUGUGCCGUACACACACGCUUUCCCGAGUCAGACAGACUCGCCCUCUUUCCUGGACUCUGCCGCUCCAGAGCUCCUAUGCAGUGUCAUGAUAACGCCGGGCUGCCUCAAGGUUAGUUAUGAAUUUUAAUUUGGGAACAGUUCAUGUGUCUUGCAUGUCUGCGGGAACCUGUUUGGCCAGUUUUAAUUAGGAUGUCAGUGACAGGUCAAGUAAGCAUGAGCAGUAUUUUAUUGGACCGUAGUCAUACAGUGUCUCGUGGGUAUUUUUGACUAAGUAGAAAAUCUAAUUUUAGUGUAAACACUGGAAUGAUUUUUCUCAGAUAGUCUAGCAUAAUCUGUUCAUAAGAUGAGGGGAACAUAAUUAAUGUGAGAUUUUUUCCCCUCACAUUUACAUGGUUACUUCCAAAAAAAAUGUUGGCCGUUAGCAAAUAGCAUUUUUUUAGAUUUAAAAAUAUUAUAUGACUAUCAUAAUAAUUGAAAAUGGAUUACAUGCUGGGUAGGGAUUGAGCCUACAAAUAAAAUCAUCUUUUUAAUCUAUGACCGUGUUAAGCGUUGCCUCAAGUAGGCUCAGGUGUGUAAAGGUGAAGGAAAGGAAAGUGUUUGGGGGAAAUUAACUAGUGUGCCAAGUUAGAAAUGGAGGAGGAGGCCUGUGUCUCACGAUGUACCUUUGACUGACAGAAAGCUUCUCCCUGGAGCUACUUAUGGCUUCAGUUGGAAAAGCUCCAGCUACAGCCACCCACCACCCCCACACACCCUUCUCCCUUAUUUCAACACGGGUUUGCCCAGUCCAGCAAGUAUCAAACGUGUUCAGCAUUAAAUCCAUUGUUAAGAUUUCCAACAUUUGUUUAACAGUUACACCAAGUAGUCUGAUUGCAACAGGUCAAUGAAUCAUUUGUUCAGGUGAUGUGGCUGCUCAAAGACCGGAGUGAUAUUUUUAAGUGUCUGCUUUUAAGUAUCGCACAAGUGUUUGUGCGUGUUUUAUACACCUCAUGAGCGAGUGAUUACUGAGUGGAGGUAUUUAUUUUUUUUAAAAAGACUUCCGGUUUUUUUCCCAUUGCUUUCCGUUAAACAAAUGUACAUUUUAUUGAUUUACUGUCACUGGAUUUUCUGACCAAUAAAUGCAUUCCAUAAACUG